rnacentral:rRNA from 1 species
CGGCACGGGUGCGUAACGCGUAUGCAACCUACCAUCAACAGGGGGAUAACACUGAGAAAUUGGUACUAAUACCCCAUAAUAUCUCAUGCGGCAUCGCAUGGGGUUGAAAACUCCGGUGGUUGAUGAUGGGCAUGCGUUGUAUUGGCUGGUUGGUGAGGUAACGGCUCACCAAGGCGACGAUACAUAGGGGGACUGAGAGGUUAACCCCCCACAUUGGUACUGAGACACGGACCAAACUCCUACGGGAGGCAGCAG